GGUCGCCCCUGGCCUUUAGCACCCAGAUCACUUCUAACCCCUGACGAGCUGGAAAGGACAGGAGUCCCCGCAACCCGCGGUUUUACCUUCCGUGAUUUCAUUGACGUGCAGUCAACUCCGGUCCGAAUACAUUCCAUGGAAAGUUCCAGAAAUAAACAAUUGAUAAGUUUUCAACUGUGGGCCGCCCUGAGUAGCGUGAUGCAAUCAUCGUUUGGGGUGUGAAUCAUCCGUUUGUCCAGCAUCGCGCAGGGCACGCUCCCGCCCGUAGUCGCCGUGUUGGUCAUCAGAGAGCGACUGUCGGGUGUCACGGUGCUUGUGUCCUUGUUUGACUUAAUGGCCCCAAAGUGCACAAGUCGCUUAAACUUUAUCACAGAUGUGAGCCCAGCAGGCCUCUGGCGGACCUACCACUGAAGCUGGCCCCGCACCCCAGGCCCAGCAUGCGCCUGUCGGUGAGGAGGGCGCUGCUGGCGGCCGGCUGCGCCCUGGGCCUGCUCCUGGCCUUCCAGCUGGGGCAGCAGGUGCUGGAGUGCCGGGCGGUGCUGAAGGGCCCGCAGAGCCGCUGGCCUGCCAUGCGGCCGGAGCACGAGGACCUGGUGAUGGUGGGCACGGACCGCGUGGAGUACCGCUACGGCAAGGCCAUGCCCCUCAUCUUCGUGGGCGGCGUGCCCCGCAGCGGCACCACGCUGAUGCGCGCCAUGCUGGACGCCCACCCCGAGGUGCGCUGCGGCGAGGAGACCCGCAUCAUCCCCCGCGUGCUGGCCAUGCGCCAGGCCUGGUCCAAGUCGGGCCGGGAGAAGCAGCGGCUGGACGAGGCGGGCGUGACGGACGAGGUGCUGGACGCCGCCAUGCAGGCCUUCAUCCUGGAGGUGAUCGCCAAGCACGGCGAGCCGGCCCGCGUGCUCUGCAACAAGGACCCCUUCACCCUCAAGUCCUCCGUCUACCUGUCGCGCCUCUUCCCCAACUCCAAGUUCCUGCUGAUGGUGCGCGACGGCCGCGCCUCCGUGCACUCCAUGAUCACGCGCAAGGUCACCAUCGCCGGCUUCGACCUCAGCAGCUACCGCGACUGCCUCACCAAGUGGAACAAGGCCAUCGAGGUGAUGUACGCGCAGUGCCUGGAGGUGGGCCGCCACAAGUGCCUGCCCGUGUACUACGAGCAGCUGGUGCUGCACCCCCGGCGCUCCCUCCAGCUCAUCCUGGACUUCCUGGGCAUCGCCUGGAGCGACUCCGUCCUGCACCACGAGGACCUCAUCGGCAAGCCCGGCGGUGUCUCCCUGUCCAAGAUCGAGCGAUCCACCGACCAGGUCAUCAAGCCCGUGAACCUGGAAGCCCUGUCCAAGUGGACCGGGCACAUUCCCGGGGACGUGGUGAGGGACAUGGCCCAGAUCGCCCCCAUGCUGGCCCGGCUCGGCUACGACCCCUACGCGAACCCUCCCAACUACGGCAACCCGGACCCCAUCGUCAUCAACAACACGCACCGGGUGAGUGGGCGUGCACACGUGGAGGCGUGCACACGCGGAGGUGUGCACAUGUGGAGGCGCACACAACUGGAGGUGUGUACACAUGGAGGCAUGCACACGCAGAGGUGUGCGCACAUGGAGGCGUGCACACGCAGAGGUGUCCACAUGUGGAGGCGUGCACAUGCGGAGGUGUGCACAUGUGGAGGCGUGCACAUGCAGAGGUCUUGAGAGGGGACUAUAAAACACCAGCCAAUCUGAAAGGACAUUUUCAGGUGAACCCGAACAGCACCGCCUCCCACGUGGGAAGCUCGUGAUUUCCAGAUGAGCCGGGCCCCGGCAUCGCCACCGGCGAGCACAGCAUCUGCCCGGAGCGGCCCGAGCCCCAUGUUCAGAGACGCCCCAUUAGAAGGAAUAUUCCGGGGCUUCUCGGCUGUCCUGCCUCCGGCAUGCGUGGGUGCGAGCUCGCCCCACCUGCGGGGGGCCCCUUCCCUGCUCGGCCCCAGAUGCCAGGCUCCAGACAGUUCUGCAUCGAAAGAUGGUGAGUGAGGCGGUGGGGGGAGUGACUUGGGCCAGUGUCCCCGCCAUGUGCACAUGUGAAAUGGGGAAGUUAAACCCCCGGGUGAUCGGGAGGGGCCGAUGGGCCAGAGCCGUGGGGCCCCGGGUGACAGUGGAGACCGCGGUCCGACGGGACGGGCAGGGGCCGUACUGUGCGCACAGGAAGCUCCUGGUGGGCAUCACCACACCCGCCUCCUCCGCGCUCCCACCCCCUGUUGCUGCAAGUCCCACCCGUCCCGCCUGAGUGACCUGGCACCGCGGAUUGUGAAAUCUCAGCCCUGGGAGCAGCUGGGUGAGCAGGCGCUUCCACGGCCAGAUGGCGGCGGGGACGGUCGCCCGGCUCCGCCCCGCGUGCCUUGGCUGAUGUUGGUGCUUUUGCUGUCUUGGGCUUGGGCUGGUGGGAGCGUCCAGGUUUUUCUGCUCCACACAGACUUUUCACGGUUUAUUUGUGUGUAUUUUCAGGGUUUUGUUUUUUAGUGGCAGAGCCUUCCACACACACACACACAGUCGCGUGUGCAAGCUCCAUCUACAGAACACAACGGCGGCCUUCUGAGGAGGACCCCACACCUGCCCCGAGCUCCGGCGGCUCCUUCGGAAGCACUUUACCACAGCCAAGGUUCUGCAUUUGUUUGCCUGAUGAUUGGACUCGUGUUGGUCUCACUAGACCGUAAACUGAAUGGGAACCAUCGUUGUUAAUUGCUCACCAUUUACCCCACAUGUCGCCUGGCGGAUGGAGGGGGUGGGAGCCAGCUCCCCAGGGGACCCCCAGAGGUCCCCACCUCCAGGUGGUCACGCCCUUUCGUCCGAUGUCCCUUUCCACACUGACUAAGGUCGGGUCCCAGGUUAAUACAAGACGGAUGGCUGAACAUGGGCUUCAGAUAAAACAAUACGUAUCUUGUUUGUCGUUUGUCUGAAGUUCUCGUGGAGCUGGGCACCCUGUAUUUCUAUUUGCUCAGUCUGGCUGACAACCCUCCCUGGGGCCGGCCGUGCAGCCGGUCGGAUAUCAGGGAACUGCCUGUCGGUGUGUGACCCCCAAGGCGAGAUCAUAAACCCCGUGUGGCUUUGGCCUUAUUAUCUCGACCCAACUCUCGGGGAGGCCGGUCACUGUCAUGAGGACACUCAGCACCUGACAGAGGUCCCCGGGGCAGGGAACUCGGGCCUCCUGCCCACAGCGGCACCAGCGGCCAGCCGUGCGAGCGGGUCACCUCAGGAGCGCGGCCCAAGGGGGACCCCGCAUCACAGCAACCCGGCUGGGCCACACUUGGAUUCCUCCCCAAAGAAACUGAGAUCAUGUUUAUUGUCGUUUGCAGCUGCUCAGCUUGAAGAGAACUGUUAACACUACAAUAGACAAUACAUAGGAGCUCAGAAAUAUUUGUUAAUGAGUGGCUCAGUGAAUGAAUGGGUGAGUGAGUGAGUGAAUGAAUGAAUGAUGAAGGCCGGGGGUCCUCAUCUCACCGUGUGCUUUGGAGGGUGCUUGCUUUCAGAUCCUGCCUCAGGCCUGCGGAACGUCACGUCCCAGCUGCUAUCUAAGGAUGGUGUUCACAAGUUCUUGAAAGGGUGGAAACCAUCUGCAUGAAACAUUUAAAGAAAGCAAAUUCGCUCACCCAGCUGAUCUGGAUUUUCAGUUCCGGCGCGAGAUAUAUUUUUGUGACAAGAUUCAAAACACUAAGCCGUGUGCAACUGAAUGAUGUCCCUGUCCUAGAAAAGGCGCUUGUGCUAGACUUUAAAUAAAUCAGCUUUGAAAUGUCA